rnacentral:rRNA from 1 species
ACGGAGGGUGCAAGCGUUGUUCGGAUUGACUGGGCGUAAAGGGCGUGUAGGCGGUUGCCCAAGUCCGAUGUGAAAGCCCGAGGCCUACCCUCGGAAGUGCAUCGGAAACUAGGCAGCUGGAGCGCGAUAGAGGAGGGUAGAAUUCCUGGUGUAGCGGUGAAAUGCGUAGAUAUCAGGAGGAAUACCGGCGGCGAAGGCGGCCCUCUGGAUCGUUGCUGACGCUGAGACGCGAAAGCGUGGGGAGCAAACAGG